AUGCUCACUUCGGCAGCACACAUACUAAAACUGUAAUGAUACGGAGAAGAUUAUCGGGAGCCCUGUGCAAGGAUGACACGCAAAUUUGGGAAGCGUUCCAUGUUUUA